GACGAACGCUGGCGGCGUGCUUAACACAUGCAAGUCGAACGGAAAGGCCCUGCUUUUGUGGGGUGCUCGAGUGGCGAACGGGUGAGUAACACGUGAGUAACCUGCCCUUGACUUUGGGAUAACUUCAGGAAACUGGGGCUAAUACCGGAUAGGAGCUCCUGCUGCAUGGUGGGGGUUGGAAAGUUUCGGCGGUUGGGGAUGGACUCGCGGCUUAUCAGCUUGUUGGUGGGGUAGUGGCUUACCAAGGCUUUGACGGGUAGCCGGCCUGAGAGGUUGACCGGCCACAUUGGGACUGAGAUACGGCCCAGACUCCUACGGGAGGCAGCAGUGGGGAAUAUUGCACAAUGGGCGGAAGCCUGAUGCAGCAACGCCGCGUGCGGGAUGACGGCCUUCGGGUUGUAAACCGCUUUCGCCUGUGACGAAGCGUGAGUGACGGUAAUGUGUAAAGAAGCACCGGCUAACUACGUG
rnacentral:rRNA from 1 species